rnacentral:rRNA from 1 species
UAACAGCCUUCUUGACUCUUUGACCUCAAAUCAGGUAGG